rnacentral:rRNA from 1 species
AGCUGGAAUUGCUAGUAAUGGCAGGUCAGCAUACUGCCGUGAANACGUUCCCGGGCCUUGUACACACCGCCCGUCACACCAUGAGAGUUGGAAAUACCCGAAGCCUGUGAGCUAACUUAAAGAGGCAGCAGUCGAAGGUAGAGCCAAUGAUUGGGGUGAAGUCGUAACAAGGUACC